rnacentral:rRNA from 1 species
AGAGUUUGAUCCUGGCUCAGGACGAACGCUGGCGGCGUGCCUAACACAUGCAAGUCGAGCGGUAUAUGGUGGAAUGAAACUUCGGUCGAGUGAAGCCAUAGAGAGCGGCGGACGGGUGAGUAACGCGUAGGCAACCUGCCCCAUACAGAGGGAUAGCCUCGGGAAACCGGGAUUAAAACCUCAUAACGCGAGGAGUUCACAUGGACUUCUCGCCAAAGAUUCAUCGGUAUGGGAUGGGCCUGCGUCUGAUUAGCUAGUUGGUGAGGUAACGGCUCACCAAGGCGACGAUCAGUAGCCGACCUGAGAGGGUAAUCGGCCACAUUGGAACUGAGACACGGUCCAAACUCCUACGGGAGGCAGCAGUGGGGAAUAUUGCACAAUGGGCGAAAGCCUGAUGCAGCAACGCCGCGUGAGCGAUGAAGGCCUUUGGGUCGUAAAGCUCUGUCCUUGGGGAAGAAACAAAUGACGGUACCCUUGGAGGAAGCCCCGGCUAACUACGUGCCAGCAGCCGCGGUAAUACGUAGGGGACGAGCGUUAUCCGGAAUUAUUGGGCGUAAAGAGUGCGUAGGUGGCCAUGUAAGCGCGGGGUGAAAGGCAAUAGCUUAACUAUUGUAAGCCUUGCGAACUGUGUGGCUUGAGUGCAGGAGAGGAAAGUGGAAUUCCUAGUGUAGCGGUGAAAUGCGUAGAUAUUAGGAGGAACACCAGUGGCGAAGGCGACUUUCUGGACUGUAACUGACACUGAGGCACGAAAGCGUGGGGAGCAAACAGGAUUAGAUACCCUGGUAGUCCACGCCGUAAACGAUGAGCACUAGGUGUCGGGGUCGCAAGACUUCGGUGCCGCAGUUAACGCAUUAAGUGCUCCGCCUGGGGAGUACGCACGCAAGUGUGAAACUCAAAGGAAUUGACGG